AGCAGCCGCGGUAAUUCCAGCUCCAAUAGCGUAUAUUAAAGUUGUUGCAGUUAAAAAGCUCGUAGUUGAAUUUCGGGAUCAAUACGUCGGUCGUGCUUCGGUACAUACUGGCGUAAUUGAUUUCUCCCUUCUGACGAACCAUGAUGUCAUUAACUUGGUGUCAUGGGAAAUCAGGACUGUUACUUUGAAAAAAUUAGAGUGUUUAAAGCAGGCUCACGCUUGAAUACAUUAGCAUGGAAUAAUGAAAUAGGACGUUUGAUUCUAUUUUGUUGGUUUCUAGGAUCGACGUAAUGAUUAAUAGGGAUAGUUGGGGGCAUUAGUAUUCAAUUGUCAGAGGUGAAAUUCUUGGAUUUAUUGAAGACUAACUACUGCGAAAGCAUUUGCCAAGGAUGUUUUCAUUAAUCAAGAACGAAAGUUAGGGGAUCGAAGACGAUCAGAUACCGUCGUAGUCUUAACCAUAAACUAUGCCGACUAGGGAUCGGAUGAUGUUAAUUUUUUAAUGA
rnacentral:rRNA from 1 species